GACGAACGCUGGCGGCGUGCUUAACACAUGCAAGUCGAACGAGAGCGUAGAGAAAGCUUGCUUUUUCUACAAUCUAGUGGCAAACGGGUGAGUAACGCGUAAACAACCUGCCCUACGGAUGGGGACAACAGCUGGAAACGGCUGCUAAUACCGAAUACGUUCCGAAAGUCGCAUGACUAUCGGAAGAAAGGAUGGCCUCUAUUUAUAAGCUAUCGCCGGAGGAGGGGUUUGCGUCUGAUUAGCUAGUUGGAGGGGUAACGGCCCACCAAGGCGACGAUCAGUAGCCGGUCUGAGAGGAUGAACGGCCACAUUGGAACUGAGACACGGUCCAGACUCCUACGGGAGGCAGCAGUGGGGAAUCUUCCGCAAUGGGCGAAAGCCUGACGGAGCAACGCCGCGUGAGUGAAGACGGCCUUCGGGUUGUAAAGCUCUGUUAUACGGGACGAAUAAUCUUGUGGUUAAUACCCAUGAGAAGUGACGGUACCGUAAGAGAAAGCCACGGCGAACUACGU
rnacentral:rRNA from 1 species